rnacentral:tRNA from 7 species
GUCGGGGUAGUUCAGUGGUUAGAACGCCGCGCUCAUAUCGCGGAGGUCGUGGGUUCAAUUCCCACUCUCGACA